CCCGUUGUUGUCUAACAUGAGGCUCUCCAAACUGGCCAGCUCGCAGAAGCCGCCGGGCAGGGUGCCAAGCUCGGCCCCACUCAGCCAGAGGAUCUUGAGGGCACGCAGAGCACUGAUAUCCUCAGAGAUGUGAUUUCAUCACCAGUCACUCUCAUUGAUGAAUGAACGUGAUGAUUCAUGCCUGAGAGUUCUACCUGUUCUGGUCCUCACAAUCCAUAGUACCACAAAGCUGUACAACUCACUGUUAGUCAUUCAACAGGGACAGCUCUGCCUAUAGUGGACCCGCCCAGCAUCCCAGACUCUCUGGACUCUGCCCACAUUGCAGUCUUGGCCCCUCUAUGCCCUCGGCUUGAGAUUGAGCUUCAGAUUGAGUAUUGACCCCCUACACCCUUUGCGUGAGGAGAACACCAGGAGAGGCUGGAUCAUCCAGAGUUGCCAACAUCGGGGGAAAAAAAAGCAAUGAAAUCUUGAAAUUCGCAGGCAAAUGGAUGGAACUAGAAGAAACCAUCCUGAGUGAGGUGACCCAGUCACAAAAAGACAAACAUGGGAAAGAAAGAUCUGCCAUGGCUGUUACAGUGCCCAUUGCAGAAUGGACCACAGUGUGAAAGGAGCAAAAUGGCUGCCUCAUUCUUGCUAAGAAUUCUUAUAGGGUGCUGAAUCUAAGGCCCCAGACUAGAUGUCAGCUACAAAGAGAAGAACAUGAAUGAUGAAGGCUAAGUACCACCAAACUCAGAGUCUCUGGAUUUUCCCGACCAUCCACAGCCUCCCUUCCCUGAAGGCCUCAGAACUCUAGUUCUGGACCAAUGCCUGGCUGGAGAUGAAGCCUCUCAUCACCCUGUCUGUUUACCACUGCUCUAUGAUCCUUUAAACCCUAGUGGCUCCUUAGAUUUGCCCCGGUCUGGCUUGCAUUUUGCACCAUGGGAAAUCACUUUCUGUGAGCUGUCGUGGACUUUUCCCUGGCUCUGUACCCAGAAGAUUCUUGCUCCUGCUUCUUUGUCUAGUAAAUGCCUGCAUCUGCCGCCUUUAAAGUCUUAGCUAGAAUAUCUCUUCUAGAGUUCCUUUAACACAAAGACAGUUAUAAACCAGCAAGAACUGUGUGCUUCGGAGCCAAACAUUUUAUGUUGAUUUGCAUAUUUCAAGCAUUCCACCAGAAUUUAGUAAAUAAAUGUUUUGAUA